rnacentral:tRNA from 1 species
GCCCGGGUGAUGGAACGGUAGACAUAGCGGACUUAAAAUCCGCGGCCCUUCGGGGCGUGCAGGUUCGAAUCCUGCCCCGGGCA